rnacentral:rRNA from 1 species
AUUACCUUCGGGGGUAGAGCACUGUUUUGGCUAGGGGGUCAUGGCGACUUACCAAACCAAGGCAAACUCCGAAUACCGAAGAGUACAGCUUGGGAGACAGAGCACCGGGUGCUAACGUCCGGACUCAAGAGGGAAACAACCCAGACCGCCAGCUAAGGUCCCUAAAAUUGGCUAAGUGGGAAACGAAGUGGGAAGGCUAAAACAGUCAGGAUGUUGGCUUAGAAGCAGCCAUCAUUUAAAGAAAGCGUAAUAGCUCACUGAUCGAGUCGUCCUGCGCGGAAGAUGUAACGGGGCUAAGCCAGUUACCGAAGCUGCGGAUUUGCAAUUUAUUGCAAGUGGUAGGAGAGCGUUCUGUAAGCCUGUGAAGGUGCGUUGUAAAGCGUGCUGGAGGUAUCAGAAGUGCGAAUGCUGACAUGAGUAGCGUUAAAGGGGGUGAAAAGCCCCCUCGCCGUAAGCGCAAGGUUUUCUACGCAACGUUCAUCGGCGUAGAGUGAGUCGGCCCCUAAGGCGAGGCAGAGAUGCGUAGUUGAUGGGAAACAGGUCAAUAUUCCUGUACCGAUGUGUAGUGCGAUGUGGGGACGGAGAAGGUUAGCUCAGCCAACUGUUGGAUAUGUUGGUUCAAGCCUGUAGUCGUGCCUGGUAGGCAAAUCCGCCAGGCUUAGAUGAGGGGUGAUAACGAGGCUGCUUGCAGACGAAGUGAGUGAUACCCUGCUUCCAGGAAAAGCCACUAAGCUUCAGCUAUUGACGACCGUACCGCAAACCGACACUGGUGCGCGAGAUGAGUAUUCUAAGGCGCUUGAGAGAACUCAGGAGAAGGAACUCGGCAAAUUGACACCGUAACUUCGGGAGAAGGUGUACCCCAAGUCAGUGAAGUUGAACAAACGGAGCUAAAAGGGGUUGCAAAAAAUUGGUGGCUGCGACUGUUUAAUAAAAACACAGCACUCUGCAAACACGAAAGUGGACGUAUAGGGUGUGACGCCUGCCCGGUGCUGGAAGAUUAAAUGAUGGGGUGCAAGCUCUUGAUUGAAGUCCCAGUAAACGGCGGCCGUAACUAUAACGGUCCUAAGGUAGCGAAAUUCCUUGUCGGGUAAGUUCCGACCUGCACGAAUGGCGUAACGAUGGCCACACUGUCUCCUCCUGAGACUCAGCGAAGUUGAAAUGUUUGUGAUGAUGCAAUCUCCCCGCGGAAAGACGGAAAGACCCCAUGAACCUUUACUGUAGCUUUGUAUUGGACUUUGAACGGAUCUGUGUAGGAUAGGUGGGAGGCUUUGAAGUGCGGUCGCUAGAUCGCAUGGAGCCAACGUUGAAAUACCACCCUGGUGCGUUUGUGGUUCUUACCUUGGUCCAUGAUCUGGAUCGGGGACAGUGCAUGGUAGGCAGUUUGACUGGGACAGUCUCCUCCCAAA